CGGGGGAGCGCAGGGUCCUGGGCUGUGUCCUCCGCACCCUGGGCUCCAGGGCCUGUGCUGCUGGCAUCGCGCUCCCGGGCCGUGGCUCCCG
rnacentral:pre_miRNA from 1 species